GUAGGCUAGGCUGCUGCUAGCCCUUUAGCCCCUACCUUUUUCUUGGUUUUUUGUCAGCUGAAUCGUGACUUCUGAGAGGAAGAGUCGCCAUUUUUAUUUGUUUGGGGUUUUGAUGUUAGCUUAUUCAUUAGCUUGAUUGCUAUUUGUUAGGCAUUUUUAUAGAAUUUGUGAUGGGUUUUAGUUGGUUCGGAUUGGCGGUUGGUGAUCUUGCUAUUUAUUUAUUUUUGAUGAAUUUUGAUGCUUUAAGACUUGGAGACCAUAAUGUCCACCAAUUUGAGAAGCUGAGUAACAUUCUACUUCUACAAUGUUAAGAAUGGCACCUUUUAAUAACAGGAACUUCAGCCAUCGAAUCUAGGAAUUCCAUCCAAUUGUGCACGCUGCAUGGAAGUCACAUUUACCUUUGCUGUGAACAUCAUGAACACAUACACUAUUUGAAGGUUCAUGUUUACUUAGCAGUGGUAUUGCUGUCCAAUGUGGCGUGUUGUUGGAGCCUAUGGUGGGGAAUUAGAAAGAAAUCUGCAUCAAGUUGCUGUUCCUUGUGCAUCCAAGGUGCUGGUUUUAUGAUACAUCCAGUAUUGUGUUUCAUUGCUAUUUGUGUCUAUGCAGUUCACUUUUUAUAUAUUGAGAAGGAACAAAAAAGUAAUACGGGGAGGUUUAUGUCAAACAAAUAAUAAAUAUGUCCGUGAUUGGGGAAUGAGGAGAAAGUUGGGGUGGGAUAUUUGAUUAUCAUUUGUUAAAAGAAGUGAGGUAUAUUCUUAAUGAAUAUGCAAUACUUAGUGAUAAAAUCUGUUGUUAACCUUAUAACCUUCCCCACUUACACAUACAUUCCUCAAACCCCAUAAACACCUUCAUCAAAUCCCACAUCCACUUACAUCCAUUCAUCAAACCCCACAAUCUCCAACAUCCAGUCCACACAAUUGUUGUAAAUUUAUAAUCAUCUAUAUAUUUAAAUUAAUAAACUGUCAUUGUA